AACCUGGCGGCGAGUGGCGAACGGGUGAGUAAUAUAUCGGAACGUACCCUGGAGUGGGGGAUAACGUAGCGAAAGUUACGCUAAUACCGCAUACGAUCUAAGGAUGAAAGUGGGGGAUUCGCAAGAACCUCAUGCUCCUGGAGCGGCCGAUAUCUGAUUAGCUAGUUGGUAGGGUAAAAGCCUACCAAGGCAUCGAUCAGUAGCUGGUCUGAGAGGACGACCAGCCACACUGGAACUGAGACACGGUCCAGACUCCUACGGGAGGCAGCAGUGGGGAAUUUUGGACAAUGGGCGCAAGCCUGAUCCAGCAAUGCCGCGUGAGUGAAGAAGGCCUUCGGGUUGUAAAGCUCUUUUGUCAGGGAAGAAACGGGCCUUUCUAAUACAGGGGCCUAAUGACGGUACCUG
rnacentral:rRNA from 1 species